AUUGAACGCUGGCGGCAGGCCUAACACAUGCAAGUCGAACGAGUGGCGGACGGGUGAGUAAUGUCUGGGAAACUGCCUGAUGGAGGGGGAUAACUACUGGAAAUGGUAGCUAAUACCGCAUACCCUCAGAUGUGCCCAGAUGGGAUUAGCUCGUUGGUGGGGUAACGGCUCACCAAGGCGACGAUCCCUAGCUGGUCUGAGAGGAUGACCAGCCCAGCUUGAAAUGAGACACGGUGCUGACUCCUACGAGAGUCAGCAAGGGGGAAGAUUGCACAAUGGGCGAAAGCCUGAUGCAGCCAUGGCGCGUGGAUUAAGAGUGCAUUAGGUUUGUAAAGUACUUUCAGCGGGGAGGCGUUACCCGUAGAAGAAGCACCUGCUGACUCCGUGCCAGCAGCCGCGGUAAUUC
rnacentral:rRNA from 1 species